GCCUCCCCGUAAACGCCUCGUCUAUUACGCCUCUGUUCACCGCCAGACAACCUCUGAGACUGUUCAAUCGCUCCCGACCGAACGCUCGGCCUCUCCGGCCAUUGUCACCGACAACUUCUUCCACUUUACCGCCCAAUUUUACCCUUGUCGACUCAGAGUUCCCUUUAACCGCCCGAAGGCCGGGAAAGACGACUCCUCGUCAACCCGCUCAGGCUGCACGUUCUUCUUUUUGCACCGUCACCGCCCGCCAUUUCCAGAAUUCGGCCAAGACCUCUUUCACUGCCCGUGUUAGAGACGUUCCCUCGCAAAUUCGCUCAGACUGCUCAUUCUUGUUCUGUCAGUUGCGCCACACCCCACUUCCCUCCCACUCCGGCUCUAGACCUCUCUCUUGAUCGCUGCCCUUUUCAUCUGGCAUUCCGGCCUCCAAUAGUAGCUCUCGCGCAUUGUUGUCUUAUGGCAUCUGCCAUCCUCAACCGGCCUUUUGCCUUGCCUUGGACGACCGCAUACAUCUUCCCGAUUUGUGCGCCCCCAAAGUGCUCGUGGUAAUGCUUGUGUGUUGUACUUCACUUUCAAGUUUCAUCAACGGUUUCGUUACCAUCAGGUUCUCCACCCCCUGCAUUUUAAAACGCUAUGCUAGCCAGGAAGAAUAUGACUUUCAAGACACCCGCUGGGGAAUCGAAGAGUCUAUCUAACCAAAACGUCACAACUUCCCUUUAUGUUUUGAUAUCAUGAUGUUUCUCAUCAUGAAUUCAAUUCAUGAUACGGUUGGUCAUGCCACUGGUUUGGGCCGUGAAACUGCAUCUGUCAAAAGAGCUGGCCAAAACACUACAAGACCUCAUUGACCAAAGUUCACCUUGGCGAAGGCACGGCAAGACCUCAAACCCAGAAAACCAUUUGUUGCUUGCCUUUUAUUUCGUGAUUGGUCAUGUUAGACAGAUUGGCAAGUAAGGAGAGGUCAGGUUGGAAACAUGGCAUUGUUUACUUGGAGUAAAUGAUUUUGUAUUUUGUGGUAGAGAGCCUGAAUUAAGAGAUCAUCUUGUUAUCCACGUGCUGGGGGCCAUUUUUCUUUGGCCAAAUCUGGUGGCUAUUCAGGGAAAAGUGCGGUUAUAAUAUUGGAAAUUGGCAAAUCGAUCUGAUGUUUGCUUCAGUUUUGAAAAGGAAGAAAUGGGAGAUUACUUUAAGAGAACGCUAUGUUAAUCGGGAAGAAAGAAACUCCAUAUUGUUCCACUAGAAGACUGAAGAUGGUGGGCUGACGCUGAUAUAACAUGUAAUAGAACUACAAGAGCAAGAGUAGCCUCCCUUUCCAAUUUUCAACAUAGAAUUGCUUGAUUGCUCAGUUUUUUUUCAUUUGAAUUCGACACUUUCGAGUGAUGUAAGGUUCGAGGGCAUGACUUGAGUCGUCGCUUUUCAAUUCUAUUUGUACAUGUUUGUUUACUAAUGAAGAAAAUAUUUGGUGCACUUUAAAA